UACAGAGGUCCCAAGCGUUGUUCGGAUUCACUGGGCGUAAAGGGUGCGUAGGCGGUCGGGUAAGUCUGAUGUGAAAUCUCACAGCUUAACUGUGAAACUGCAUUGGAUACUAUUCGGCUUGAGAGUUGGAGGGGGGACUGGAAUUCUUGGUGUAGCAGUGAAAUGCGUAGAUAUCAAGAGGAACACCAGUGGCGAAGGCGGCUCACUGGCCCGGUACUGACGCUGAGGUGCGAAAGCGUGGGGAGCAAACAGG
rnacentral:rRNA from 1 species